rnacentral:rRNA from 1 species
AUACGGAGGGUGCAAACGUUGUUCGGAAUCACUGGGCAUAAAGAGCAUGUAGGCGGCUCGUUAAGUCAGGUGUGAAAUCCCCCGGCUCAACCGGGGAACUGCAUUUGAAACUGACGAGCUCGAGGAUGGUUGGGGUGAGUGGAACUUCAGGUGGAGCGGUGAAAUGCGUAGAUAUCUGAAGGAACACCGGUGGCGAAAGCGGCUCACUGGACCAUUCCUGACGCUGAGAUGCGAAAGCUAGGGUAGCGAACGGGAUUAGAAACCCCAGUAGUCC